AUUCUCACUCCAAAGGCGUCAAAAACCGAAGCAUGGUCAAGCGCCCCUAGCGUCACUUUUAUGACGCCAAAUGUGCCUCUUGGCGUCGAAUAUCGAAGCACUACGACCUUCAUUGCUUUCACUGGGAAACUUUUGGCGUCAGAAUUCGACACGAGGACAUGAGAUGUUUAUCGCUAUGAAAUCACGUUCAAGAAGUCUCAUUCAGCACACAUCGCGAUACUUGCUAUCAGUUCCACAGUUUGGCUGAAAAGACGUAAAGGCAGUCAGCCCAGUGGUGUUUCUGGAGAGGGAUUCCUUCAGAAAUGGAGAAGACAGAAAGCUGCGGAGGCAGAUAUUUGCAGCAGUCUAAAAUAUCAAGCUCAACAGCUCACUCAAGAGCCAACCCUCACAAACCUUCCUAAAAACUAAAAGAGCUAUUACUGAGUCUCAGCGACUCUUGCCACAAUCAGCUCUUCCCAG